rnacentral:piRNA from 1 species
UACAAAGAUGUGCAUAGGUCAGCCAUGGU